CAACGCAACCAACCGACUCAUUUAUUAACCUAGCUUACAAAAUGUGCAUCCCAAUCCAAAGGAUGAUUACAAAUGGAAUAUUAACAUUUCUUUCCUUCAUAUCUAGAACUGGAUGACCUCCAACUUAUCAACGCCUCCCAAGAACACGACAACCAGAACCGCACAACCGCCUCCCAAGAUACGGAUUCGUCCCAGCCAUUGUGUUCGACAAUGAUUGACGACAUGGACGAGAACGGGAACGGAG